AUGUGGACUCUCAGAAUGAGCUGUACAAAUCCCUGGAGAAACGGCAGUAUCACUCCUCUGAGAGAGCAGAAGCCAGCAAGAAGGAAGAGGGUAAUGAAAAGGAGGCUGGGAACUUGCCUGCAACCUCAUGGCCCUGGUGGCUCAGAAGGGCUGAGCUAUUUGCAACAAUCUAUUGAGCUUCAAUCUGUAUUUACCCACUGCAUCUCCCAUGCUGGUACCGGAACAGUGGUUCCUAAACUUAAGCGUGCGUCAGGAUAGGCUGGGUGCUGUGACACAACACACAGAUUCCCAGAUCCCAUGACUGGAAUUUCUGAUUCUGAAGGCUGGGGUUGGGGAUGAAAAUUUGGAUUUUUCAUCAGGUUCUUGGGGGAGGCUGUUCCUGGUGGUCCGGACACUUUGAGAAGCGCUGUACUGGAAGGGUCAUCCUAAAGCAGAUGCUGAGUUUGUCCGUCACCUGAAGACUUGUGUGUUUACAGCAGAAAGCCCAGCCACUGAGCAGAGUCCAAAGACACUGUAGCUUUUCCAGAGACUUCCUUCUCCUGUUCACAUCUCUGGCUCAAGCACUUCCCCGUGUGCACCAAACACUACCCCAUGCUGCGUUCCUUCACACUUGCAGUCUUUGCAGAUUCAAGUCUCUCUCCGGAGAGAUUCUUCUAUUUCUAUACUGGGUCAACUCCCACUCAUCAGUCAAGAUUCUGCUGGAAUGUCACUUUCUCCACGAAACCGUCACAGGAUCCUUCAGAAAUAGCAUUUUUCUCUCUCUGCUUCUCUGUGCCUCUGAUUUGGAAUACAGCACAUUGCAUUUUUUUUAAAAAAAGAUUUCUUUGAUAUGGACCUUUGAAAAAGUUUUUACUGAAUUUGUUGCAACAUUGCUUCGUCUUUCUUUAAUGUUUUGGUUUUCUGGCCAAAAGGCAUGUGGGAACCCAUACCCCUUCUACUGGAAGCUGAAGUCCGAACCACUGGACCUUCAGGAAAGUCCCCCAGUGCAUUGCAUUUUGAUCCUCUGAAUAUCUCGAUUACCUGCAGAAUUCGCUAAUUCAUCAUCAGCAUUUCAAAUAAAGAUAAAUUAUAUUCUUUAUUGCUUAUUCUC
ensembl:lncRNA